AAAUUUCAAUUUGCACCCAGACCCCCAUUUUCUCCUCUCUCUCUCUCACACACUCACAGUCAGACUCACCCUCUCAGGAACGCUCACCACACCCUCACCCUCUCACUCUCACUAGGUCUGGCCAUCAUCAAGAUUGAAGCACACACGCACGACACGACGCACCGCCACCGGCCAUCACCACGCAACGCCACUACCGUCCACCAAUCCAGCCGCCCCUCUGCAGCUCUAACCCUAGGUGUCUAUUGAUUGAUUGGGAGAAAACUCUUAGAUUGGGGAAAAACUCAAACCAGAGUUGUGGAUUUAGCCCAAUUGAGAGAUUGGAUGAAUUUUGCUGCUCUAUGUAUGAUUGGAUGGCCAAUCCAAGGUACUUCAUUGGUUUUCUCUGAAGAUGUGUUCUUUUUCUUGCUGUGACCGGUGGGGGUUCUGUUUUUUUUACUGUACUGUGUGAAGUAGUUUUUUUUUUUCUGAAAAAUUAAAACAACGCAACUGCUACUUCCUUGUUGAUUUGAAGAAUUUUAUAUAAAUGGCAUGGCAAAAGAUACAGUUUUGAGAUCUUUGCAACCAACAAGGUUUUGGGACGUCAAUAAGAUAUAAUUACCUAUCUAGUAUCUACAAUCAAAGAAUGGUCCGAAGUGUGUCCAAGAGAUUUUGGGUAGUCCGCUGUUCCUGGGUUGCUUGCAACUCUUGCAAUGGCAUAUCUUCAUAACACAUUUUAUGGUAAGCUAAUUCCUGUGCCAAGUUCAUUAGAGUAGAACUUGAUGUCAAUCUUUGGUAAAUGCUUGGAGGAAGUUGUAUCUCAUUUGGCACCUGUGCUGGUACCAUUGUAGCACUGUUUUGGAUUGAAGAAUCCAUAUGAGAAGGCCUAGUUUAGGUGAUUGUUGUGGGUCUGAAGAGUAUUAGCUGGCCUUUAUGUUUUGUGAGUGCACCUGGGGUACUGAAUACCCUGUUUUUGUACUCUGUUUCUGAUUCCUCUUCUCUUCUUUUUUUCAUUUUCCUUUGUUCCAUAAUAUAUCUCUCUGGGUUGAGGUACCCCUAGUACCUCUAUAAUACAAUUUUGUUUACCAAAAAAAACUCUAUGCUCCACACUCUUGAAUUUAUUGUUUGUCAUAAGUUGGAUCAAAGAAAUUGGUUCACUGAUUAUGUAUUCAAUUAUUUAACAAGAACUGGUUCCAAUUCAAAAUAGUUUUAUUUUA